rnacentral:rRNA from 1 species
ACGAACGCUGGCGGCGCGCUUAACACAUGCAAGUCGAACGGAAAGGCCUGCUUUCCCUUGUGGAUUGCGGGUACUCGAGUGGCGAACGGGUGAGUAACACGUGAGUGAUCUGCCCCCAACUUGGGUAUAAGCCUGGGAAACUGGGUCUAAUUCCCGAUAGGACUGCAGGGUGGUGCCUGUGGUGGAAAACGAUUUUCUAGUGGUUGGGGAUGAGCUCGCGGCCUAUCAGCUUGUUGGUGGGGUAAUGGCCUACCAAGGCGGCGACGGGUAGCCGGCCUGAGAGGGUGGACGGCCACAUUGGGACUGAGAUACGGCCCAGACUCCUACGGGAGGCAGCAGUGGGGAAUAUUGCACAAUGGGCGGAAGCCUGGUGCAGCGACGCCGCGUGGGGGAUGACGGCCUUCGGGUUGUAAACUCCUUUCGACCGCGAGGAAGCCACCUGGUUGGAAGGGUGGUGACGGUAGUGGUAGAAGAAGCACCGGCUAACUACGUG